CAUUCUAUCACCAGUUUCCAUAUGAUCACUGAAGUUAAGCCACAUCAAGCCUGGUCAAUACCUAGAUGGGUGACUACUUGGGAAUAUCAGAUGCUGAA